rnacentral:rRNA from 1 species
AGUGAACGCUGGCGGUAGGCCUAACACAUGCAAGUCGAACGGCAGCACAGUAAGAGCUUGCUCUUACGGGUGGCGAGUGGCGGACGGGUGAGGAAUACAUCGGAAUCUACUUUUUCGUGGGGGAUAACGUAGGGAAACUUACGCUAAUACCGCAUACGACCUACGGGUGAAAGCAGGGGAUCUUCGGACCUUGCGCGAUUGAAUGAGCCGAUGUCGGAUGAGCUAGUUGGCGGGGUAAAGGCCCACCAAGGCGACGAUCCGUAGCUGGUCUGAGAGGAUGAUCAGCCACACUGGAACUGAGACACGGUCCAGACUCCGACGGGAGGCAGCAGUGGGGAAUAUGGGACAAUGGGCGCAAGCCUGAUCCAGCCAUACCGCGUGGGUGAAGAAGGCCUUCGGGUUGUAAAGCCCUUUUGUUGGGAAAGAAAAGCAGCAGGUUAAUACCCCGCUGUUCUGACGGUAGCCAAAGAAUAAGCACCGGCUAACUUCGUG